AGUGAACAAUUAAACGGCCGCGGUACUCUAACCGUGCAAAGGUAGCAUAAUCAUUUGUCUACUAAUUAUAGACUAGAAUGAAAGGCCAAAUGAGGGUUUAACUGUCUCUUAUAGUAAAUCAAUUAAACUGAUCUACCAGUAAAAAAGCUGGAAUACACACACAAGACCAGAAGACCCUGUGAAGCUUAAACCNAACUAUUAAACUAUAUAAUAGCUACUUUCGGUUGGGGCGACCUUGGAAAAAAAAAGAACUUCCAAACAUAAUAAUUAUCUAUUAUUACCCUAGGCCAACAAGCCAUAAUAUUUGACCCAGCACAGCUGAUAAUUGAACCAAGUUACUCCAGGGAUAACAGCGCCAUCUUCCUCAAGAGCCCAUAUCAAAAGGAAGGUUUACGACCUCGAUGUUGGAUCAGGACAUCCUAA
rnacentral:rRNA from 1 species